CCAAACUUGGUCAUUUAGAGGAAGUAAAAGUCGUAACAAGGUCUCCGUUGGUGAACCAGCGGAGGGAUCAUUACAGAGUUGCCACGCUCUAAACCCCCUGUCUACCUUACCGUCCCGUUGCUUCCGGCAGGCGGCCCCAGGGCGGGGCGUCCCGGCCUGUCUCGUCAGGUGCCUGCCGGAGGUGCAAGAGGAAACUCUCUGCUGUCGCGUGGCCUGUCGGAGUGAGGAACAAGAAAUGGUCAAAACUUUCAGCAACGGAUCUCUUGGUUCUGGCAUCGAUGAAGAACGCAGC
rnacentral:misc_RNA from 1 species